rnacentral:rRNA from 1 species
AACGAACGCUGGCGGCAGGCCUAACACAUGCAAGUCGAACGCUCCAGCAAUGGAGAGUGGCAGACGGGUGAGUAACGCGUGGGAACCUACCCUUUGGUUCGGAAUAGCCCAGGGAAACUUGGGGUAAUACCGGAUAAGCCCUUCGGGGGAAAGAUUUAUCGCCAAUGGAUGGGCCCGCGUCGGAUUAGCUAGUUGGUGGGGUAACGGCCUACCAAGGCGACGGUCCGUAGCUGGUCUGAGAGGAUGAUCAGCCACACUGGGACUGAGACACGGCCCAGACUCCUACGGGAGGCAGCAGUGGGGAAUAUUGGACAAUGGGCGCAAGCCUGAUCCAACCAUGCCGCGUGAGUGACGAAGGUCUUCGGAUUGUAAAGCUCUUUUGGCGGGGAAGAUAAUGACGGUACCCGCAGAAUAAGCCCCGGCUAACUUCGUGCCAGCAGCCGCCGUAACAC